GACGAACGCUGGCGGCGUGGAUUAGGCAUGCAAGUCGAACGGUAGGAUACCUUCGGGUAUCUGAGAGUGGCGAACGGGUGAGUAACACGUAGGUGAUCUACCCUCAAGAUUGGGACAACCCAGGGAAACUUGGGCUAAUACCGGAUGAAAGCAGCAGUGAUGUUGUUUGAAAGGUGGCGUAAGCUGCCGUUUGGGGAUGAGCCUGCGCUCUAUUAGUUAGUUGGCGGGGUAAAGGCCCACCAAGGCGAUGAUAGAUAGGCGGCCUUAACGGGUGGUCGCCCACACUGGGAUUGAGAUACGGCCCAGACUCCUACGGGAGGCAGCAGUCGAGAAUAGUCUACAAUGGCCGAAAGGCUGAUAGUGCGACGCCGCGUGAACGAAGAGGCCCUUCGGGGUGUAAAGUUCUUUUAUAUGUGAGCAGUGCUUUCUAUGUGAACAGCAUGGGGAGAGAGAUAUUAGCAUAUGAAUAAGCAACGGCUAACUCCGUG
rnacentral:rRNA from 1 species